rnacentral:rRNA from 1 species
CUGUAGCUAAUACUUGCUUUAUUAUCCUUUGAUUCCUUUCUUUGGAUAAGUAUUUGUUAGGCCUUAUAAGAAAAAAGUUAUUAUCUUAGGGAAUUAUAACAAAGAAGUAACACGUAAUAAAUUUAUUUUAUUUAUGGGGAAUCAUUCAAGUUUCUAACCUAUCACCUUUUGUUGUUAGGGUUUUGCCCUACCUUGCCUUUAACGGGAACGGGGAAUUUAAAGUCCAAUCCCGAAAAGGGGCCUGAAAAAUAACCACCCCCUCCUAAGGAAGGCGCAAGGCCCUAAAUUACCCAAUUCUUAAAAAAAAAAGGAAGGAACAAAAAAAACCAUUGCAAGGCCAAUUGGUGGUUUUGUUGUUAUGAUGGGAAUUUUUUACCUUCCUCCCACUCAAUUGGAUGGAAGGCAAGGCGCCAGCCCCGCCCGCAUUCCUUCCCCCUCCAAUAAUAUUAUAUUUGUUUCUUGCAAUUAAAACGCUCGUGAAUGAAUUUCAAACAAUCUUUUUUUUAUUGCUUCUAUUCUAAUCCAACUACUGAUACUGCGGAUCGACUUUGUGCGCAUUUUGCUAUUAUGUGUUCUUGUAAUUAAAAUGAUUCUUUUUAGGACUUUCUUUGCUUCGGCUUGGAAA